UAGCACAAAUCAAUGGUAUCCAAAACAUCAAGAAGCAGUUCAUUUGAUAUUCAUGUUCAUUCUCAUUCAAUGGCUGACCUCAACUCAUUGACUGUUGCUUGUUUUGUAUUGUACACUAUAUCUUUUAAGUAUCACCAUAAAAAAAUUUUUUGAGUGAUGCGAGGUCUAGUGAUCACUAAGGGUUUUCCACUUGAAACUCUUUGUCCAGUCUAUUUGUCUGGCUAAAUCUCAUCAAGCUAGGCCCUACAUUACUAUGGUAAUAUGGAUGUGCCCCGUCUUGCUGGAAAUAAAACUCCACAUUUUGAAAAUUUUCUUGAAUUUGUUGGCAUGAUAAAAUGGCUCGAGUAUAUUCAAUCACUCACAGUACUGUUAAAAAUGAAUGGUUUAACUUACCAGCUGCUCCUGUGGUGUUCCUCUGUUAUAUGCAGAUCCCCAAUCAGUGCAACUGUGGUGGUUAAUCGAUCCAUUUAAUUUAUAUGUAGCUUCAUCACUCCAAACAAUCUUUGUUGCAAAGUGCACAUCUUCUACACAUUUUGCCAAGUACCAUUUACAAAACUCCAUUCUCCAGUCUAUAUCAUCAUCAUUUAGAGCAACGACUAUUCAUGGAAUGCAACUUUUCCAAGGAGAGCACUUCAAAAUGCAAAUGAAGUUUGAUUUUGAAAUUCCUGUCUCAUGACUCACUUGCCAUGCAGAUUUUCUUGAACUCCAUCAAUUUAUUUCUAGUACCCUGUCUUACUUCAUGAGGCUCGUCAAUAUCCACGGUCUUCAAGAAGAUUUCUUGUGGAGAUUCUGAACUGUUCCAUCUGCUUCAAACUUAUCUCUAAUUCAAAUUAUGGAGGCCAACAAAUACGGCUCACCAAGAAUUACUAAGCAGAUUUUUAAAGAUAUCUUUUAGGAUGUUUACUUCCUAUUCAAACGCUGAACGCUUUCUCACCAAGGCCAAAAAGGAAAACAAAACAAAAAACAAUAAUAAUAAUUAUAAUAAUAAUAAUAAAACCAAAAAAAAAAUAACGAUAAUAAAAAGAACUGAACAAAAGAAUGCUAAAAGCCUACCGAGGUCACAUUGAAGAGAAGAAAAAUGCUGUAUACAUAUCGAACACGUGUUCAAAGUUAUUUUAUUUAUUUAAUUUAUAUAUUUUUUCCAAAUAUUUUU
rnacentral:lncRNA from 1 species